GCCAGGAAAUGCUUAGCUGGGAGCUCAAGGUGAAAAGGAUUUGGUGAACAACCAGCUAGUCUCUGCCACUGCAUCUUAUUUUGAGACACCUCUUAGAUAUCCAGGAAAAGAACAAUGGGAAACUAAUACAGACACUCAGAACAAUGAGUUCUGCAGCAAUAAAUGAGCAGCCGGAAAAGCUUCUUGACCAACAGGAGCAGUAACAACCCUCUGAAACCUGGUAGAGAUGGUAUUAUACUGCCCAGAGAAGAGGCCAUGUGAGGACACAGCGAGAAGGUGGCCGUCAACAAGCCGGGGAGAGAGGUCUCAUCAGAAACCAACCCUGACGGCACCUCGACCUUGGACUUCUAGCCUCCAGGCUGUGAGAAAAUAAGUUUCUGUUGUUUAAGCUACCAGUCUGUGAUACUUUGUUAAAGCAGCCCA
rnacentral:lncRNA from 1 species